UAGCUUGCUAUGAACUGUUUUAGCGGCGGACGGGUGAGUAACGCGUGAGCAACCUUUCCCAGACAGGGGAAUAACACACCGAAAGGUGUACUAAUACCGCAUAAGACCACAGCGCGGCAUCGCGCAGGGGUAAAAACGAUUCAGUGGUUUGAGAUGGGCUCAUGUCCCAUUAGCUAGUUGGUGAGAUAACAGCCCACCAAGGCGACGAUGGGUAGCCGACCUGAGAGGGUGAUCGGCCACAUUGGGACUGAGACACGGCCCAGACUCC
rnacentral:rRNA from 1 species